rnacentral:lncRNA from 1 species
GCCCGCUAUAAUGUACUUCACACUUAAUUUAUUGAACUUUUCGCCCUCUGUAAUGAACACCUUACAAAAAAUAAUGAACAUCUUCAAAAUUGUAAUGAACUUACAUGAAUUACUAACUGAACAUUAGGUUCAUAAGAACAAUUACUUAACAAACAAUUAUUAAAACUAAAGAUCUCCUUCGUCUCACCCAUUUUUCUGCUGCUGCUUGAAACUACAGAUCGUCUCAAAAAUCUUUAAACAUCCUACUGGAACAACAAUUUUCAGAUCUCUAAAACCAAUUAUUUUCAAGGCUUUUACUAGCUAAUAAUUUGUAGCGACAAUAGAAAACUCUGAAUAUCAUCUUCAGGGGAACCGAAAGUUCAUUUUGGAGGAGAAAAUUUGAAGAGAGAUGCAGGAACAAUACCAUUAACUAAUGAGAAAAUCCUUCAGAUCUGCGUUGGCAAGAUAUGUUAUUUCACCCUUUAUUUACUAUAAAGCCUAUCUUUCAAGAUAUGCACAGACUUGUGUUGGCAAGAAGAGCACUAUGACAGCGAAACACACACCUCGCCCACUGGUACAUCAUGUGUUCUUUCCAUUCAUUCUUUAUUUUCUAAGGCAAAAAUAGGUAGAUUAGAAUGAAAAACUGUUCUUAUAAGUAUCAAAACCGGAGGAUAAAAAAAAUAUGACAAUUGAAGGGAAGUGAAAUCGGUAAAUUAAUAAUUCAACAAUCCAUUAAAGAUAAAUUAUACCUUGAACAGAUCCAUCCCCUUCUCAACUUUGGCCUGCAUUUCACGAAGCGUAGCCGCUUCUUCUUCAAUCUCCUCCAAUCGUUUCUUUCUUAAACAAAUUCAGAAGAUUAGAUAACAAUGAAAAGAAAAAUGGUGUAGGCAAAAUACUCAAAUAUUUUCUCGUUCGAAUCGCCAUUUCAAUGGAAAGAGAGAUUUUUGUGGGAUUUGAUUUUACUCCAGCUUCUCACAGCAAACAAAAUGACAAACCGACCCUUAUCGCACUUAAACUAAAGAUUAAUUCUUAAUAUGAUAAUUAAUAAAUCAGUAUCAUGAAUUGAUCUGGGCCGUUCGAAAUGUUCAAAUCAAAGGAGGUGAUUUAUUCUUUCUUCUCUAUAUAAGGGGGCUUCUCUAUUGAAG